rnacentral:lncRNA from 10 species
UUGAAAUGUCACCCCCAGUGUUGGAGGUGGGGCCUGGUGGAAGGUGUUUUGAUCAUGGGUGCAGAUUCCUCACAAAUGGCAUAGCACCAUUCCCCUGGUGAUGAUUGAGUUCUUACUCUUGUGGUUCACAUGAGAUCUGAUUGUUUAAAAGAGUGUGGCACUUACACCUCCCACUCCUGCUAUUGCCAUGUGACACAUGUCCUUCUUCACCUUCCACCAUGAUUGGAAGCUUCUUGAAACCCUCACCAGAAGCAGAUGCCAGCAACAUGUUUCCUGUAUCACCUGCAGAACCAUGAGCCAAGAAAAACCACUUUUCUUGAUAAAUUUACUAGUCUCAGGUAUUUUUUUAUAGCAACGCAAAAAGGACUAACACAGAAAAUUGGUACUGUGUUACCAAUAGGAGUGGGGUAUGGCUAUAAAGAUACCUGAAAAUGUGGAAGUGGCUUUGCAGUUGCAUAACAGGCAGAGGCUGGAAGAGUUUGAAGGUCUCAGAAGAAGGCAAGAAGAAGAGGGAAAGUUUGGAACUUCUUAGAGACUUAAGUGGUUGUGACCAAAAUGCUGAUAGAAAUAUGGACAGUUAAGGCCAGGCUGAUGAGCUCUCAGAUGGAAAAGAGGAAGGUAUUGGCAACUGGAGCAAAGGUCACCCUGUUAUAUCAUAGCAAAGGACUUGGCUGCAUUGUGUCCAUGCUGUAGGAAUUUGUGGAAGUUUGAACUUGAUGAUGAAGCAUAUCUGGUGGAAGAAAUUUCUAAGUAGCAAAGAAUUCAAAAUGUGACCUGGCUGCUUUGAGCAGCCUAUGCUCAGAUGUGGGAACAAAGAAAGGACUUAAAGUUGGAACUCAUAUUUAAAAG